rnacentral:rRNA from 1 species
UACGGAGGGCGCGAGCGUUACCCGGAUUUACUGGGCGUAAAGGGCGUGUAGGCGGCCUGGGGCGUCCCAUGUGAAAGGCCACGGCUCAACUGUGGAGGAGCGUGGGAUACGCUCAGGCUAGACGGUGGGAGAGGGUGGUGGAAUUCCCGGAGUAGCGGUGAAAUGCGCAGAUACCGGGAGGAACGCCGAUGGCGAAGGCAGCCACCUGGUCCACUUGUGACGCUGAGGGGCGAAAGCGUGGGGAGCAAACCGG